UGGGGUAUAUUGGACAAUGGGGGGAACCCUGAUCCAGCCAUGCCGUGUGUGUGAAGAAGGCCUUAUGGUUGUAAAGCACUUUAAGCGAGGAGGAGGGUACUGGUAUUAAUACUACCAGGUACUGGACGUUACUCGCAGAAUAAGCACCGGCUAACUCUGUGCCAGCAGCCGCGGUAAUACAGAGGGUGCGAGCGUUAAUCGGAUUUACUGGGCGUAAAGCGUGCGUAGGCGGCUAAUUGAGUCGGAUGUGAAAUCCCCGAGCUUAACUUGGGAAUUGCAUUCAAUACUGGUUAACUAGAGUGUGGGGGAGGAUGGUAGAAUUCCCGGUGUGGCGGUGAAAUACGUGGAGAUCUGGAGGAAUACCGAUGGCGAAAGCAGCCAUCUGGCCUAACACUGACGCUGAGGUACGAAAGCAUGGGGGGCAAACAGA
rnacentral:rRNA from 1 species